rnacentral:rRNA from 1 species
GUUUCAGCCGCCGCGGUAAUACGUAGGUGGCAAGCGUUGUCCGGAAUUAUUGGGCGUAAAGCGCGCGCAGGCGGUUCCUUAAGUCUGAUGUGAAAGCCCCCGGCUCAACCGGGGAGGGUCAUUGGAAACUGGGGAACUUGAGUGCAGAAGAGGAGAGCGGAAUUCCACGUGUAGCGGUGAAAUGCGUAGAGAUGUGGAGGAACACCAGUGGCGAAGGCGGCUCUCUGGUCUGUAACUGACGCUGAGGCGCGAAAGCGUGGGGAGCGAACAGGAUUAGAUACCCCGGUAGUCC